rnacentral:rRNA from 1 species
AACAGGAUUAGAUACCCUGGUAGUCCACGCCGUAAACGAUGAGUGCUAAGUGUUAGAGGGUUUCCGCCCUUUAGUGCUGCAGCUAACGCAUUAAGCACUCCGCCUGGGGAGUACGGUCGCAAGACUGAAACUCAAAGGAAUUGACGGGGGCCCGCACAAGCGGUGGAGCAUGUGGUUUAAUUCGAAGCAACGCGAAGAACCUUACCAGGUCUUGACAUCCUCUGACAACUCUAGAGAUAGAGCGUUCCCCUUCGGGGGACAGAGUGACAGGUGGUGCAUGGUUGUCGUCAGCUCGUGUCGUGAGAUGUUGGGUUAAGUCCCGCAACGAGCGCAACCCUUGAUCUUAGUUGCCAGCAUUUAGUUGGGCACUCUAAGGUGACUGCCGGUGACAAACCGGAGGAAGGUGGGGAUGACGUCAAAUCAUCAUGCCCCUUAUGACCUGGGCUACACACGUGCUACAAUGGAUGGUACAAAGGGCUGCAAGACCGCGAGGUCAAGCCAAUCCCAUAAAACCAUUCUCAGUUCGGAUUGUAGGCUGCAACUCGCCUACAUGAAGCUGGAAUCGCUAGUAAUCGCGCAUCACCAUGCCGCGGUGAAUACGUUCCCGGGCCUUGUACACACCGCCCGUCACACCACGAGAGUUUGUAACACCCGAAGUCGGUGGAGUAACCGUAAGGAGCUAGCCGCCUAAGGUGGGACAGAUGAUUGGGGUGAAGUCGUAACAAGGUAGCC